UACAGCCAUGUCAUGUUGAAACACCAGUUCCCAUACAAUCACUGAAGUUAAGCAAUGUCAAGCCUGGUCAUUACCUUGAUAAGUAACUGCUUGGGAAUACCAGGUGCUGUAA